GAGUUUGAUCGUGGCUCAGGAUGAACGCUGGCGGCGUGCCUAACACAUGCAAGGUCGAACGGAACCCUUGGGAUUCGGUCUGGGGGAGAGUGGCAAACGGGUGAGUAACACGUUGGUGACCUGCCCCAAAGAGGGGAAUAACCACUGGGAAACGGUGGCUAAUACCCCAUGUGGUCUGUCGGUCGGACGGCAGAUUAAAGCGCCCCAUUAGGGGCUGCGCUUUGGGAGGGGCCUGCGGCCCAUCAGGUAGUUGGUAGGGUAAUGGCCUACCAAGCCGAUGACGGGUAGGGGCGUGAGAGCGUGAUCCCCCACACUGGCACUGAGACACGGGCCAGACUCCUACGGGAGGCAGCAGUGAGGAAUAUUGCCCAAUGGACGCAAGUCUGAGGCAGCAACGCCGCGUUGGGUGAU
rnacentral:rRNA from 1 species